rnacentral:rRNA from 1 species
CCCUUAGAUGUUCUGGGCUGCACGCGUGUUACAAUCGGGAGUACAACAAGAUUGCAAAUCCUAGUGGAUGAGUGGUUCUUCGAAAUUUUCUGAAGACUGGGAUAGUUGAUUGAAACUAUUCAACUCAAACGAGGAAUUCCUUGUAAUUGUAAUUCAUUAUAUUGUAAUGAAUACGUCCCUGCCCUUUGUACACACCGCCCGUCGCUCCUACCGAUUGAACGAUCCGGUGAAUUUUUGGAGUAGCUCUGGAAGUUGCAGAACUUCCUAUGUCACGAAAUUUUGUAAACCUUAUCGUUUAGAGGAAGGAAAAGUCGUAACA